rnacentral:rRNA from 1 species
GACGAGGAGCUUGCUUCUCUGACGUUAGCGGCGGACGGGUGAGUAACACGUGGAUAACCUACCUAUAAGACUGGGAUAACUUCGGGAAACCGGAGCUAAUACCGGAUAAUAUAUUGAACCGCAUGGUUCAAUAGUGAAAGACGGUUUUGCUGUCACUUAUAGAUGGAUCCGCGCCGCAUUAGCUAGUUGGUAAGGUAACGGCUUACCAAGGCAACGAUGCGUAGCCGACCUGAGAGGGUGAUCGGCCACACUGGAACUGAGACACGGUCCAGACUCCUACGGGAGGCAGCAGUAGGGAAUCUUCCGCAAUGGGCGAAAGCCUGACGGAGCAACGCCGCGUGAGUGAUGAAGGUCUUCGGAUCGUAAAACUCUGUUAUUAGGGAAGAACAAAUGUGUAAGUAACUAUGCACGUCUUGACGGUACCUAAUCAGAAAGCCACGGCUAACUACGUGCCAGCAGCCGCGGUAAUACGUAGGUGGCAAGCGUUAUCCGGAAUUAUUGGGCGUAAAGCGCGCGUAGGCGGUUUUUUAAGUCUGAUGUGAAAGCCCACGGCUCAACCGUGGAGGGUCAUUGGAAACUGGAAAACUUGAGUGCAGAAGAGGAAAGUGGAAUUCCAUGUGUAGCGGUGAAAUGCGCAGAGAUAUGGAGGAACACCAGUGGCGAAGGCGACUUUCUGGUCUGUAACUGACGCUGAUGUGCGAAAGCGUGGGGAUCAAACAGGAUUAGAUACCCUGGUAGUCCACGCCGUAAACGAUGAGUGCUAAGUGUUAGGGGGUUUCCGCCCC